CCCGCGAAGCCAAGAACCUAAACUUACUAGGAAGACCGGACCCUAUGUGGGUUGCCUACGUAUCCCGCCCCGAGAGACAAGAAUCAGGUUCGCGUAGUUUGGGCAGAUUGGAUAUAGGCGAGAAUUAAAAAAAAUUAAUUUAGAGAAAACAUAUUUUUUGUCUUUUGUUUUGGAAAAUGGUGAAACAUAUAAACUCUUUUUGGAUUUUCUUUUUCCUUUUUUUCUGAUUUAUUUUUGAAAAAAUAAUGGGAAAGUGCAAAAUCUUUUUGGAUUUUUCAUAAUUUCUUUUGGUCUUUUUCUUAAAAAAAUGUGAAAGAAAAAUAUAAUUGAGCCCUACUUGCUUUAUUUUCACACUUCACCCUCUUUUCUUUCUCAUCUACCCUCAGUCAUCAUUGGUCCGCCAAAUGACCUUUUUACCCUUAAAGAAAUACAACAUGUAGCACAUAGGAUGCAUUAGGAUGGUCUGUUAUUUUGGGUAGACAUGUCCUAGAUAGACCCAACCCUCUGUUGAGUCUCAAAAGUCAAAUGCACGUGAUGCAAACAAACGUUCCUACUAGGGAUCUGGAAUGAGGCUGUGUUUUUCUAGGUUUUAAAAUAUGGGGUUGUGUUCUUGACCUGGCUUACCCGAACGGACAACUCGAGUCGAAGAGGGGGCAACGUACCUGGAGCACUGAAGUCUAUCCGAUCUUGUUGCUGGCCCAGCCUCAUUCUAUUUGGUAUAACUUCUACAGAAAAAGCGGGCUACGCGAACGUGUGCACCAUUUUUAGAAGACUCGGAGGGGUGGCGUAAGAAGACAGUUAUAUACAAUUCAAAUAAUAUCAAAGCGGUAAACUAACAGCAUUUAGCACAUAAGGUUCAUAGAAUACAGUAAUAUUAACAAUAAAUGAAGCCAAGCAAAAAUCAUAUUAACAAGCUCGAAUUCUGAACCCGGAACCAGAAGUUCUGGGUUCUUAUCCCCAGCAGAGUCGUCAGAGCUGUCACACCUCCUUUUUACUACCCCCGGAAAAGAUAUAAAGGAGUUUUUUCCAAUUUAAGUGACAAUCGAAACGAGAUUUAUUUAUGUUAAAAUUAGAGUCGCCAGUUGGGAUAAUUUAUGGUGUCCCAAGUCACCAGAUUAAAAUCCCAAAUCGAGGAAGAUGACUUUUAUUUAUGGUCUGCGAACAUAGAAAUUCGGGUAAGGAAUUCUGUUAACCCGGGAGAAGGUGUUAGGCAUUCCCGAGUUCCAUGGUCUUAGCACGUGCGCUUUGAUCAUACUUGGCUCAUUAAAAUUGUCUAAUUACUUAUUUUAGAACCUGUGUGAAUUUGCCUCUUUUAAUUAAGAAAUUAUCUUAAAACAGGUCAUGAGUACGUGUACCCAUUUGUUUGGCGCAUCAAAAAUCAUGUCACGCGAAUGUGUCCACAAUUAGUAACGCUCUAUUAUUAUUAAGAAAGAUUAGUCAAAGUUACGUGAGCGCUACUCCAAUUUUAUUUUUAGGAUCGUAAUUAUGUCAUGUGAAUGUGUCCACAAUCAUGACAAUAGAUUAUAAAAUACGCCUAAAGCAUUCUAACCAUAUUCAAUUUCUGAAAAUGUAAUCGUGUCACGCGAACGUGUACAUAAUCACUAUAAACUAAUUAAUGCGCGUCUAAAAGCAUUUUUACGAUAUUUAUGAAUAUAAACGGCCGAAGCAUGCUCCUAACGAUCGAAAGGGUAUAGCGAAAUAAAAAACUAAAAGAAAUGAUCCAAAGCUCGACUUGUUAUAGCACUUUCGGUUGUCUUCCGUGACAAACAACUUGUGUCAAGAAGCCAAAAUCUAUUUUUUAUUUUUUCUUAAAUCCAAUCACUGUUAUGGCUGAUUUUAUAUUCUUAACAAGUAUCCAAAAAAACAAUUAACUAAAUGGAUCACAUGCAUUCACACUUUUAAUAAAAAUAAAAAUUAACUGAUUCAUGUUCGUUCCCAAAGACUGCAUCAAAUGAAAACUUCAACAUAAAUGAACCAAAUUAUGAGAGUCUCAAACAAACAACGAAACAAACAUAACAAUCACGUGGCAUUCAUAAUCGUCAAAGCUUAAAAACUAGGAAACAAAGAGGAAACUUAAGAUUAAAGUAAGAAAUUGACCUCAAAUAUUGACAGCUUUUCCAAUUACAAUAGCGAUAUACGAAUGGUGAACCGAGACCGAACUCAACCGGAAAAGUGAACCAGGAUCGAAACCUCUAAUUAAAAUUAUCAGUGGUGACCUCGAAGCUCGCCGGAAAAACUCGAAUUAGAUCAGAAAGACGAAACCAAUACAAUUCUUGCACAAAAAUGGACCGGCCAAGCUCCUACCAUGGUUUUUCAAAUGCUAUUUCUAGAUUCUGCUCCUUCCUUCUGCUAAUAGUUCCUCCACUAAGUUAACUCCCCCAUUUUCAAUCCCCCCCCAUUUGUCCUCCCCACUAUAUGUGUGCGUAUCUUUUGGUCUUGGGGGGGGGGGGGGCUGACUUCUCUUUUUUGGGUGAAAGAGGUGAUCUAACUUAGAGGUUCUGCGGCUGAAGCUUAAGAGGGAACGACUGCCAUUCUCGCUGGUUUUGUUUUGUCUAGAUGAUGAAGGACGGUUGUGUCCUUGUGCGUGCUCUUAGCGUUUUAUAAGUUUCUAUGUUGAAGAAGCGGGUCUAAAUUUUUCCAUCAGAAGAGAGCCGAUGGUGGGGGGUCUUGAAGGGUUAAGGGUCUACUGUGGAUUUGAUAGAGUGUAUAUAUCUCCUAAGGUAUGUUGUUGUUGGAAUGAAGAAGACGAUCCAAAGGGGUGGAGGUCUGUCCUUUUGUUGAAACACGACGCUGUCUCUUAAUGUCUAAGGUCCCU
rnacentral:lncRNA from 1 species